GAAAUCAGCUGAGGUGGAGGAGGCGAGCGCGAGAUCUCGCGAUACUUCCAUCCCAUAGCAACUGACAUGUUAGCCUUGGAUACCACCGGAGUCGUACUCAGGGCAGAUAGACGGUCCCAGGCUCUGGGUUCGAAUCGAGGCUUCUUCUUUCCUGUGUGGAGUUUGCGGGCUCUCUUGUGCUUGCGUGCCCUGUAACUGAUCAGUCCAGGGUGUACUUUGGGAUAG